rnacentral:tRNA from 2 species
GGGCGGUUAACUCAGUGGCAGAGUGCCAUCCUCACACGGUGGAAGUCGCAGGUUCGAAUCCUGCACCGCCCACCA